UACGUAGGUGGCAAGCGUUUGUCCGGAAUUAUUGGGCGUAAAGCGCGCGCAGGCGGUCCUUUAAGUCUGAUGUGAAAGCCCACGGCUCAACCGGUGGAGGGUCAUUGGAAACUGGGGGACUUGAGUGCAGAAGAGGAAAGCGGAAUUCCACGUGUAGCGGUGAAAUGCGUAGAGAUGUGGAGGAACACCAGUGGCGAAGGCGGCUUUCUGGUCUGUAACUGACGCUGAGGCGCGAAAGCGUGGGGAGCAAACAGG
rnacentral:rRNA from 1 species